AUUACUAAAACCAGUAGUUCGAAAGAUAUAUUUAAAAAUAAAAGAUAAAAAUCCAAAAAAUUAAUUAUCUAUUAACGUGGAUUUGGACGACAAUAGGUUUUUAGCAUUUUUAGUUUGUGAUGUUUCAUGUGAUGAUCAUUUUCAUGUUCAUCGUCUUUGAAUUGACAUGAGGAUAUCUAUGGAAAAGUAACUAAUCUGAAAGUAAGCCAACAUAUCGUUUGUCCUUUGUGUGCUAAAGAAAAGAUUUUCUUUUCGCAUCAUGAGGAAGUAUUACAUCAAUUAAAAAAUGUUAGGAAGUUGAUUACUUGUCAUGGAAAAGUAUACCAAUGGAAAUUAUAUGUUAAGAAGUAUAAUUCUAAGGGUUUUAAGAAUAAAUUGGUUGAACCCAAAAUCUGGAGGAAGUACCUAUAUCCAUACACAGAAUAUGCCCAUUAAAAAUACUAGUCCAAAUUUGCUUUAAUAGUAGACAAUUGUUCAAUACAA